rnacentral:rRNA from 1 species
UGGUGCCAGCAGCCGCGGUAAUUCCAGCUCCAAUAGCGUAUAUUAAAGUUGUUGCAGUUAAAAAGCUCGUAGUCGAAUUUCGGGAUCAAAUUGUCGGUCGUGCCUCGGUACGUACUGGUAUUAUUGGUUCCUCCCUUCUGACGAACCACGAUGUCAUUAAUUUGGUGUCAUGGGAAAUCAGGACUGUUACUUUGAAAAAAUUAGAGUGUUUAAAGCAGGCUCGCGCUUGAAUACAUUAGCAUGGAAUAAUGAAAUAGGACGUUUGAUUCUAUUUUGUUGGUUUCUAGGAUCGACGUAAUGAUUAAUAGGGAUAGUUGGGGGCAUUAGUAUUCAAUUGUCAGAGGUGAAAUUCUUGGAUUUAUUGAAGACUAACUACUGCGAAAGCAUUUGCCAAGGAUGUUUUCAUUAAUCAAGAACGAAAGUUAGGGGAUCGAAGACGAUCAGAUACCGUCGUAGUCUUAACCAUAAACUAUGCCGACUAGGGAUCGGAUGAUGUUAAUUUUUUAAUGACUCA